CUGACACAGGGAGGUAGUGACAAAAUAUACCAAUACAGGGCAUCUAAUGUCUUGUAAUUGGAAUGAGAACAAUUUAAAUCCCUUAUCGAGGAUCCAUUGGAGGGCAAGUCUGGUGCCAGCAGCCGCGGUAAUUCCAGCUCCAAUAGCGUAUAUUAAAGUUGUUGCAGUUAAAAAGCUCGUAGUCAGAUUUUGGCACCAUGCCGAACUGUCUGCCGAUUGGUAUGCACGGUUUGGCGGGUGCUUCCUUCCGGAAGCCCGCGUUCUUCUUCACUGAAGAGCGUGGUGAGUCCGGAUCAUUUACUUUGAAAAAAUUGAGUGUUCAAAGCAGGCCUAUGCUCUGAAUAGGUUAGCAUGGAAUAAUAGAAUAGGACUUCGGUACUAUUUUGUUGGUUUCUAGGACCGAAGUAAUG
rnacentral:rRNA from 1 species